rnacentral:rRNA from 1 species
UAGGGAAUCUUCGGCAAUGGGGGGAACCCUGACCGAGCAACGCCGCGUGAGUGAAGAAGGUUUUCGGAUCGUAAAGCUCUGUUGUUAAGGAAGAACGAGUGUGAGAAUGGAAAGUUCAUGCUGUGACGGUACUUAACCAGAAAGGGACGGCUAACUACGUGCCAGCAGCCGCGGUAAUACGUAGGUCCCGAGCGUUGUCCGGAUUUAUUGGGCGUAAAGCGAGCGCAGGCGGUUAGAAAAGUCUGAAGUGAAAGGCAGUGGCUCAACCAUUGUAGGCUUUGGAAACUGUUUAACUUGAGUGCAGAAGGGGAGAGUGGAAUUCCAUGUGUAGCGGUGAAAUGCGUAGAUAUAUGGAGGAACACCGGUGGCGAAAGCGGCUCUCUGGUCUGUAACUGACGCUGAGGCUCGAAAGCGUUGGGAGCGAACAGG